UUCAUCAAGAGGAGCAGAGGGACCCGGCCCGCUGAAGCUCCAGCAACCAGCUCGACCACGAGCCAGGUGCUACCUCCGGCCCCGGCGACGGUCGUCGGGGGCAGAUGA
rnacentral:ncRNA from 1 species